rnacentral:rRNA from 1 species
GGUGCUGCAUGGCCGUCGUCAGCUCGUGUCGUGAGAUGUGGGUUAAGUCCCGCAACGAGCGCAACCCUUAUCAUAGUUGCUACGCAAGGGCACUCUAAUGAGACUGCCGGUGACAAACCGGAGGAAGGUGGGGAUGACGUCAGGUCAUCAUGGCCCUUAUGGGCUGGGCUACACACGUGCUACAAUGGCGGUGACAGUGGGACGCGAAACCGCGAGGUGGAGCAAAUCCCCAAAAGCCGUCUCAGUUCGGAUUGCACUCUGCAACUCGAGUGCAUGAAGUUGGAAUCGCUAGUAAUCGCGGAUCAGCUUGCCGCGGUGAAUACGUUCCCGGGUCUU